AUGUGCUCAAAGAAUGAUAGUUCUCAUUAUUUUCCCUCUUUUGAGGAAGAAGUCAAUAAUGCUAUGUUAAUUAUUACUCCUGUUAACGAGAAUAUGAACAUGCUCGACGAUGUCGAAUUCGAAUGGGUGUCUUCUCGUUAUGAGGCUCCUGACGGUUUCAUCUCUAUUCUCCAAAGGCUGUUAACACGUACUUGCAGAACUCGCUUUAAUGGGAUUUUCGAUUUUAUGGAGAUAUAAUAACGGAGGGCGAGAUUAGAUGACUGUAGAACAAAUGCCUCGCGUCUUGGAGUAAAUGCACUUUCCCGAUUGUUUAAAAAACGAAUAGAUUGCUUUAUCUUCACGAGAGGUGAUACGGUUAUUUUAAAACACGCUGCUGAAUAUAAAACAUUGCGUUCAAAAUUGAAUCUAGCCGCAAAUAUUGGAGCAAUGGUAACGUUUCUUCCAAAUAAUGAAUUAUGACUUCAGGGUUUGCAGAAUAAGUCAAGUAUUCUAAAAUAGUAUUAUCACAAUUUUUCGCUUUAUAAUAAUUGUAAGUGUUUAUCAACGAUUUUAUUCCUUGUAUCGAGAUCUGCUUUUUUCAAACCAUUACAGUAUAUCUACCUUCCUUUUUUUCUCUUUUUUUGAUUUUGUUAAAAAUGUUUCUCUCUUAAUAUUUAUGGUAACAGAAGAGAUUAUUUAGCAUAUAUUGGAAUAACAAUUACAUGAGUUCUUGCUGUUCGAUAUGACAUGAUAU